UACAGAGGGUGCGAGCGUUAAUCGGAAUUACUGGGCGUAAAGCGUGCGUAGACGGUUACGUAAGUCGGAUGUGAAAGCCCCGGGCUCAACCUGGGAAUUGCAUUCGAGACUGCGUAGCUAGGAUGCGGAAGAGGGAAGCGGAAUUUCCGGUGUAGCGGUGAAAUGUGUAGAUAUCGGAAGGAACACCAGUGGCGAAAGCGGCUUCCUGGUCCAGCAUCGACGUUCAGGCACGAAAGCGUGGGGAGCAAACAGG
rnacentral:rRNA from 1 species